CACGUAGGGACCAAGCGUUGUCCGGAUUUAUUGGGCGUAAAGAGCUCGUAGGCGGUUCCGUAAGUCGGGUGUGAAAACUCUGGGCUUAACCCAGAGCCUGCAUCUGAUACUGCGGUGACUAGAGUCCGGUAGGGGAGUGGGGAACUCCUAGUGUAGCGGUGAAAUGCGCAGAUAUUAGGAGGAACACCGGUGGCGAAGGCGCCGCUCUGGGCCGGUACCGACGUUGAGGAGCGAAAGCGUGGGUAGCAAACAGG
rnacentral:rRNA from 1 species